GCCACGAUGAAGAAUUUGUGUGUUGCUGUUGUUGUGCUGAGUCUCACUUCAGUGUGCCAGCCUGCGUCACUGGCCUGUGAGAAGCUGUUGAAGCCAGUAGACAAAGGACCAGAUUUUUCUGGGAGUUGGUACCUCAUAGCCAUUUCCUCAGACACCUGUUUGGCUGCCACAUUACUGAAUUCAUUUUUUUGGCCAAGUGUUGCAGUGGACAUUACCUCUAAGGACAUACCGAACAUCUACAAUGGGAACUUUAAGAUUAAAAUGUAUGGAGUUUGUGCUAAUGAUUCAGAAAAUUAUUUGUACGAGAACAACACCGUCUUUGAUGUUGACAGCAACAGUAAGUUUUGUUUAAUAUACUGUGCACUGG